ACGCUCGACACCUACUGGAGGCAGCAGUGAGGGAUAUUGCACAAUGGGGGGAACCCUGAUGCAGCGACGCCGCGUGAGGGAAGAAGGUUUUCGGAUUGUAAACCUCUGUCCUCAGUGAAGAAGAUGACGGUAACUGAGGAGGAAGCCACGGCUAACUACGUGUCAGCAGCCGCGGUAAUCUGAGCGGGCUGGCAAGGC
rnacentral:rRNA from 1 species